rnacentral:ribozyme from 14 species
UGCUUCUCACUCGCUGCUUUUAGUUUUUUAUUUUUUCUCUUUUUUUAUUAUAAAUGGCGUAGUUAUUGUUAU